ensembl:snRNA U6 U6 spliceosomal RNA
AUGCUUGCUUCAGCAACACACAUACUAAAACUGGGAUGAUUCAAGAAGGUUUACAUGGCCCUUGAAGAAAGAUGGCACACAAAUUUAUGAAGUGUUCCAUGUGUUU